GGUCAGUCUUAGUCUUGGUCUGAAGUCCCCCUUCUGUCUUGGGUGUGGGAAGUCCAGCUAUGUGGCAGAGUCAGGGUCUCACUGAGUUGCUCAAUGCCAAGCUGUUGCUGAAGCUGGCUUUGAACAUGAAUUCUUCCUGCCUCAGUCUCCUGAGCUGCUGAGAAUACAGCUGUGAUCACCUGAGAACACAUGACUCCAACUCCCUCACUCUAUCAAAGGAAACUCAGACCAGUGGCUCUCCAGAGAAUUUCCAUGCCUUGUUACCAGACAGGAGUGGCCAUCAAUAACCCUUCUUGUUCUGAGGCUCCAGCUUCUUGGACUGAGCAGAUCCCAGUGGGAUUCCACCUCUGCUCUGGGUGCCUUUCCACUUCAUCACCUCCAUCUCCGCAUCUCACCCAGCAAUGCCUUCCCUUGGCCCCAAACGACCUGCCUGUCUCAACACCUCGUCUGUUCAUCUGCUUGAGAAAGGAAUUCCUACUAAGGCAAAUUGGACUAUGUUUGGAACCAGAAACUGCUGGGAAACAUGGAGAAAGGGCGUCUCAUGGUUGAGGACACUCUUAACCUUGUCAGUGUAUGUUCUGUUUGUCAUUAAUGGCUUUCCCUUCUCACAUGUAUUCUCUACACUCUCCUUUUCUCCUCUCUCCCUCUCUGUAUAGAGACAUUUAACAGUGCCAGUGCCACCCCAUUGCUGAAAAGAAUAUAGAAAGUACUUUCCAGGGGACUUAGUUUUUCUUUUCUUCUUGAACUGAGUAUUUUAUUUGAAAGAGCUAUUAUUGACAUUUACACAGUUUCUAAUUUUGAGGAGUGACCAGGUGAACAACAGGGAUUGACUGUAUAUAAAGACAGUAGCAGCAUCCUGCUUUGCUAUGUUUUCACAGGGAGGAAAUAGGUGUAGGGACAGGUGAGUUAUUUUUUGAUGACUACAAUGUUUGUCACAAGCCAAACAGUAAUUCUUGUUCAUCCAUGUAGCUGUAAGCUACACUGAUUAUAAUGUGCUAUUUGUGAGAUAUUAUAGACUAGGAGAAACACAACAAGAAUUUCUGUUUAGAUUUUGAGAAAGAGUAAAGGAGUCUUUGGUCAAAGUAUGUGACAGUAUCACAUGCAGUCUUAUAUAACCAUUAUCCUUGCAAACAAUUGUUCACAGUUGAUUUUUAUAUCACCUAUAUUUAUUUGGGUUGCACUAUUAUUUUAAGAACAGAUAAAUGUCACAAGAUACAGGUAACUUACACAAGUAAAUAUCAACUCUACAACUUCAAUUUUAUCUUGAAAAAUAAUAAAUGAUCAUUUUGCAGGGAAAGACUGGCCACGUGAAUGUCUUCCUGCAUUAAACAUUUUAAUUAAA